UACGGAGGGGGCUAGCGUUGUUCGGAAUUACUGGGCGUAAAGCGCGCGUAGGCGGCUUUGUAAGUCAGAGGUGAAAGCCUGGAGCUCAACUCCAGAACUGCCUUUGAAACUACAUCGCUUAGAAUCAUGGAGAGGUUAGUGGAAUUCCGAGUGUAGAGGUGAAAUUCGUAGAUAUUCGGAAGAACACCAGUGGCGAAGGCGACUAACUGGACAUGUAUUGACGCUGAGGUGCGAA
rnacentral:rRNA from 1 species